UCCGUCUUUGGAUCUUUUUAUGUCAAUACCCAUAUUUUGUCUCGGUCAUUUUAUCCCUACACCCGUAAGUUAAUCGGCCUUCCCGUUCUUACUUCCACUGCUUCUUCUCCAACCCGUCACUCUGCUUAUCUCGAUGCUUCUCAUCGCCUCUCCAAAACCCUUCAUCUGUAUCUGAACCGAUUCGCAUCCGUUCCAUCACUAAUCGUGAUCUUGGUACCAAAUCGACCACCUAUCCAUUGGCUUAGGGUUGAUGUCUGGCUCCUGAUGGAUUUCUAUGGCAAAUUCAUAGAGGUGCUUCCAUGGUGAAGGGUCGGCGCCACCUACAAUCGAAAUCGGCGUCUGGAUAUUGCUCGAGACUGAUUGUAUCUAGGCUUUUAUCUCCUGAGAUUAUCGAUUUUACACUCGAUUCUUACAUCAGUAUGUGAUGGAGGUGGUGACGGCGGUGACAACCAUCACCGAUGCAGUUCCCAGGCACGAUUCUUUGUCAGUCGCCAACAACGUCGUGUUAAACCUAAACACUAACUUCGUCUUCACUGACACGUAUUCCUAAAUUCAAGACGAACGUUGGCCAAGUAGAAGGAAUGAUUUUUGUAGUUAUUCCAGGUGAAGGAGGCGCCGUUAGUAACGACGUAUCUCCGGUUCCGCUGAUAAGACACAAAAAUUGUAAAUUAUUAUGCCCUUCUCCUGUUGUGUGUCAAAAAACUACUUUGGUCAGCCCUGUCAUCGGCGUGCAGUGAAGGUAAUAUAUACAAACGCUUCGGUAACUUGGAUUUUCUUGAAAUUAGUCCUUAAAUUGGAAGAAUUUCACUUUGUUUCUUAUGAUUAUUGACAUAUACAACCUUCAACACUAUCUCAAAAGAGAGAUGCCACCAGCUGAAAGGUUUCGGCUCUAUACAUCGUGCUUUUGUUAAUUUGACAGAGGAGGAACGCCAUAAACAGCAAAUCCAUUCCAUAAGACUGGACAUGACUUUCUCCUUACUGUUGUCACGGAACCACCACCGUUUGCCGCCUUAUUCCUCUUUCAACUGCCCCAACAUCAGGUAUAGGGUUCUAUAAAUGCAUCUCUGGCCAGAGAUUCACAUUCGAUAAAGAGUUUGGGUAUGUUUUUUUUUUUUUUUUAAAAAAAAAAAAAAAAAAUAAUCUGCAUCAGUAGUUGUGUAUUGCACCUACGUUUCUUGCGAAUCUAACAAUCAUGCUAUAAUUAGUAGAUACCAUGCGAAUUGUAGUCAAUCCUUUGCAAUCUCUACUUAAUUCUUAUAUGAAAGAUUUUGAUCAAAACUAGGGUUCAUUUGAAGAAAUUAAAUUCAAACUACUUAAAUAAAUGGUUGAGGUCGUGAACAGGUAGGAUUUGAUUAAUUUAGGAAAGAUAGAAAAAUUUGUGAACUUCAUUUGCAUAGAGUACAAGCUGAAGGAAAAAAGAUUGUGGAUCCAAGUAAACAAGGUGCAUUGUGUUCUAUAGUUCGUAUGGACAGGGCAGGUUUGGUCAACCGUGGGCCCCACACAAAGUUGGUUGUUGCAAACCCGGUGGAGUUAUGUGGGAAAGAGAGGUCGUUGGUAUUUUACAAUAUUACCCUUGCUCUGAAUAUGCUGAACACAAACAUCAUUUUGGUAAUUUCUACCCAAAUUGACUUUUUGAGUGUUUCAGUGUUUUGUUUGAGAGUAUGAAUGUGUUGUUGCAGGCUGAAAUUACUAGGCAUUUGAUUGGAGGGAAAGAAUGGAACAUUCAUAAAGUUUUAUUGAAUGAAGGGGACAAAUUGUGUGUGUAGAAAAGUAAGAUUUGUUACAUGCUAUGCAAUCUCUCUCUCUCUCUCUCUCUCUCUCUCUCUCUCUCUCACACACACACACACACACACAUAAAUUCAUUCGAUUCAUUCACAUGAUGACAUGCAAUGCAUGAUGCUAAACUAUCAUACAUGACUUCCAUAAGCGUAAAACAUUUGAGAAGAUGCUUUGCAGUUACCAUACACAUAUUGUUUCAUACAAAAAGAGUGUCAUAUGAAAAUGAACAACUUUAGUUACAGGUGUGGUGCUCUACAAUCAUGACCUGAUAUGCGAAUUUACAACUCCACACGAUGUUUUUCAUACAUAAAUAAUACGGCAGUGGAAGGCUAUUAGAGUAUGGAUAGUGGUUGUUUAUGAAUAAAAGUUACUUUCCUUCUCAAGAACGAUUAUCAGUUGGUUGGUUUCUAAGACUAUUCAUGUAUUUGGUUUUAAGUUUAUCGAAUGUCUUAUCACUUUUCCAUUACAAAUUUUCUUUAAUUUGAUUUUAUUCUGUUGUA